CCUACGGGAGACAGCAGUGGGGGAUAUUGCACAAUGGGGGAAACCCUGAUGCAGCGACGUCGCGUGGGUGAAGAAGCGCCUACGCGCGUUAAGCCCUGUCAGCAGGGGAGAAAAUGACGGUACCUGAGGAAGAAUCCCCGUCCAACUACGGGCCAGCAGCCGUGGUAAUGCGGCAGGGGCCAGCGUUAUCCGGAUUUACUGGGGGUAAAGGGGGCGCAGACGGCGAUGCAGGCCCAGAGGGAAAGUCCGGGGGCCCAACCCGGGACGGCUGUUGAAACUGCGUGCCUUGAGUGCAGGAGGGGCAGGCGGAAUUCGUGGUGUAGCGGUGAAAUGCAUAGAUAUCAGGAGGAACCCCGAUGGCGAAGGCAGCCUGCUGGAGUGCAACUGACGUUGAGGCCCGAAAGCGUGGGUAGCAAACAGGAUUAGAUACCCUGGUAGUC
rnacentral:rRNA from 1 species